ensembl:lncRNA novel transcript
GACACAGCAAGAAGGCAUCAUUUAUGAGGCAGAGAGCGAGACACCAAAUCUACCAGCACCUUGGUCUUAGACUUUAAAGCCUCCAGAACUGAUGUACACAGGCAACAAAGAAAGGAAAAUCAACAUCUCUGUUCCACUAAUAUAUCUUUACUUUCAAUAGUAUAUGUGGUAGAGAGACCAUUCUACCUUGUAAGUGGAUGAUAACAAGGAUCUGAGGAAUGUGGCCAAAGUCUCAAAUUUAUCCCCAUAUGUUCCUCGGUAAUAUCCCAAGCAAGAACAGCUCUGCCUCGCCCAUACAGUUUCUGUAAUAGAACUGUUACCUUAAAAUUAACCUAGCCUGUAAUUUUAGGGAAGAAAAUCAGUAACCUAAUUCUAUUCAGGAUAAAAUAAGUUAAUAAAACAAUUAGAACUCAA